rnacentral:rRNA from 1 species
AACGAACGCUGGCGGCAUGCUUAACACAUGCAAGUCGAACGAGACCUUCGGGCUUUGUGGCGCACGGGUGCGUAACGCGUGGGAACUUGCCCUUAGGUUCGGAAUAACUCCCUGUAAGGGGUGCUAAUACCGGUUAAUGUCAUCGGACCAAAGAUCUAUUGCUUUUGGAUGGGCCCGCGUUGGAUUAGCUAGUUGGUAGGGUAAAAGCCUGCCAAGGCGUCGUUCCAUAGCUGGUCUGAGAGGAUGAUCAGCCACACUGGGGCUGAGGCACGGCCCAGACUCCGACGGAGAGGAGCAGUAGAUAGUAUAAUGCGAUGAGGGAUAGCCUGGUCCAGCAAUGCCGCGUAAGUGAGGAAGGCCUUAGGAUUGUAAAGCUCUUUUACCCGGAGUGAUAGUGACGGUACCGGGAGAAUAAGCACCGGCUAACUCCGUG